CCUACGGGGGGUAGCAGUGGGGAAUAUUGCGCAAUGGGCGAAAGCCUGACGCAGCGACGCCGCGUGAGGGAUGAAGGUCUUCGGAUCGUAAACCUCUGUCAGCAGGGAAGAACGGUCACUGUGCUAAUCAGCAGUGAAUUGACGGUACCUGCAAAGGAAGCACCGGCUAACUCCGUGCCAGCAGCCGCGGUAAUACGGAGGGUGCGAGCGUUAAUCGGAAUUACUGGGCGUAAAGCGCUCGUAGGCGGUAUGUCACGUCAAGGGUGAAAUGCCCGCGCUCAACGUGGGAACUGCCUUUGAAACUGGCAAACUGGAGUGUGUGAGAGGAUAGUGGAAUGCCAGGUGUAGGAGUGAAAUCCGUAGAUAUCUGGAGGAACAUCAGUGGCGAAGGCGACUAUCUGGCACAUAACUGACGCUGAGGAGCGAAAGCGUGGGUAGCAAACAGGAUUAGAUACCCUUGUAGUC
rnacentral:rRNA from 1 species